UACGUAGGGGGGCUAGCGUUGCUCGGAAUCACUGGGCGUAAAGGGCGCGUAGGCGGCUUUAUAAGUCGGGGGUGAAAGCCUGUGGCUCAACCACAGAAUUUGCCUCGAUACUGUAGAGCUUUGAGACCGGAAGAGGUAAGUGGAACUGCGAGUGUAGAGGUGAAAUUCGUAGAUAUUCGCAAGAACACCAGUGGCGAAGGCGGCUCACUGGCCCAUAACUGACGCUGAGGCACGAAAGCGUGGGGGAGCAAACAGG
rnacentral:rRNA from 1 species